GAUGAACGCUGGCGGCGUGCCUAAUACAUGCAAGUCGAGCGAACAGACGAGAGUGCUUGCACUCUCUGACGUUAGCGGCGGACGGGUGUGUAACAUGUGGGUAACCUACCUAUAAGACUGGGAUUACUUCGGGAAACCGGAGCUUAUACCGGAUAAUAUUUAGCUUCGCAUGAAGCAAUAGUGAAAGACGGUUCUGCUGUCACUUAUAGAUGGACCCGCGGUGUAUUAGCUAGUUGGUGAGGUAACGGCUCACCAAGGCCACGAUACAUAGCCGACCUGAGAGGGUGAUCAGCCACACUGGAACUGAGACACGGCCCAGACUCCUACGGGAGGCAGCAGUAGGGAAUCUUCCGCAAUGGGCGAAAGUCUGACGGAGCAAUGCCGCGUGAGUGAAGAAGGUUUUCGGAUCGUAAAACUCUGUUGUAAGGGAAGAACAAGUGCGUUAGUAACUGAACGUACCUUGACGGUACCUUACCAGAAAGCAACGGCUAACUACGUG
rnacentral:rRNA from 1 species